rnacentral:rRNA from 1 species
GGAUAACCUACCCUUAGGACUGGGAUAACCUUGGGAAACUGAGGCUAAUACCGGAUAGGCAAUUUUUCCUGUAAUGGUUUUUUGUUUAAAUGUUUUUUCGCCUAAGGAUGGGUCUGCGGCCGAUUAGGUAGUUGGUUAGGUAAUGGCUUACCAAGCCGUUGAUCGGUACGGGUUGUGAGAGCAAGAGCCCGGAGAUGGAACCUGAGACAAGGUUCCAGGCCCUACGGGGUGCAGCAGGCGCGAAACCUCCGCAAUGUGAGAAAUCGCGACGGGGGGAUCCCAAGUGCCAUUCUUAACGGGAUGGCUUUUCAUUAGUGUAAAGAGCUUUUGGAAUAAGAGCUGGGCAAGACCGGUGCCAGCCGCCGCGGUAACACCGGCAGCUCUAGUGGUAGCAAUUUUUAUUGGGCCUAAAGUGUCCGUAGCCGGUUUAAUAAGUCUCUGGUGAAAUCCUGUAGCUUAACUGUGGGAAUUGCUGGAGAUACUAUUAGACUUGAGACCGGGAGAGGUUGGAGGUACUCCCAGGGUAGAGGUGAAAUUCUGUAAUCCUGGGAGGACCGCCUGUUGCGAAGGCGUCUAACUGGAACGGUUCUGACGGUGAGGGACGAAAGUUAGGGGCGCGAACCGGAUUAGAUACCCGGGUAGUCCUAACUGUAAACGAUGCGGACUUGGUGUUGGGGUGGCUUUGAGCUGCUCCAGUGCCGAAGGGAAGCUGUUAAGUCCGCCGCCUGGGAAGUACGGUCGCAAGACUGAAACUUAA